UACGAAGGGUGCAAGCGUUACUCGGAAUUACUGGGCGUAAAGCGUGCGUAGGCGGUUUGUUAAGUCCGUUGUGAAAGCCCUGGGCUCAACCUGGGAAUUGCAGUGGAUACUGGCGAGCUAGAGUGCGGUAGAGGAUGGUGGAAUUCCCGGUGUAGCGGUGAAAUGCGUAGAGAUCGGCAGGAACACCCAGGGGGAAACCAGUCGACUGGGCAUCUACUGACGCUGAGGUGCGAGAGCGUGGGGAGCGAACCGG
rnacentral:rRNA from 1 species